UUCACAGGCUGUAUUUGCUUAUCAGCGUCAACGUCCCACAGAGUGGCUACUAGCUAGGUUGGUACACGUGCGUGUUCGGCUCUCUGGCAGUGGCACUUAACAGACACCAAGUUUGAGGUUGUGAUGUUCCAUUAUGUGGAGGACACUUGCCUGGCUGGGGAAGUGGACAUGAACAGAGUUCCCUUGACUCCCACGAUUGUUUUAUGUGAUGUUUCUUCUCUAUUAAUCCGGAGAAGGGGACGAAAGUGGAACAAACAAAAACAAAACGGCUCCAUGUGAAUCCAAGAGUCCUUACUUUGAUUCAGGACCUCUCAGACCAUGAAUGGCGAGCUAUUUAAAAAGAUGUUCCUUCAAGUGACUGCAACAGUGAACACCCAUAUGUUUCUCUAGAUGUUCUUCUAGAAGCAAUGCAGUUGCAUGUUAAUCUAAGCUUCUGUAACUUGGUUCAUGACCUUUUCAACCAUGAAUGGCGAGCUGUUUGAAAAGGUGUUCCUUCAAAGUGAUGGAGCCGAUGAACACCUAUAUCACCUUUUUUCGUGGCUCUAUAUUAACAAGGUUCACAUUUAUUCACUCACAAUUCCUCUCUCUCACAAACACAAGUGCAACCACACACACACACACACACUUUAAUGAUCUCUUUCUCAUUAUUUUUUCAACAAUAAAUUUGCAUUAUUGUGAAUU